UGUCAUCACAGACCUGUUAUUGCCUCGCACUUCCAUCGGCUUGAGCCGAUAGUCCCCCUAAGAAGCCAGCGGCCCGCAAAUGCGGACCGGGCUAUUUAAGGGCCGAGGUCUCGUUCGUUAUCGCAAUUAAGCAGACAAAUCACUCCACCAACUAAGAACGGCCAUGCACCACCAUCCAAAAGAUCAAGAAAGAGCUCUCAAUCUGUCAAUCCUUAUUUUGUCUGGACCUGGUGAGUUUCCCCGUGUUGAGUCAAAUUAAGCCGCAGGCUCCACGCCUUGUGGUGCCCUUCCGUCAAUACCUUUAAGUUAGUAGGGUGACCUGCGGAAGGAUCAUUACCGAGUGCGGGCCCUCUGGGUCCACCUCCCAUCCGUGUCUAUCUGUACCCUGUUGCUUCGGCGUGGCCACGGCCCGCCGGAGACUAACAUUUGAACGCUGUCUGAAGUUUGCAGUCUGAGUUCUUAGUUAAACAAUCGUUAAAACUUUCAACAACGGAUCUCUUGGUUCCGGCAUCGAUGAAGAACGCAGCGAAAUGCGAUAAUUAAUGUGAAUUGCAGAAUUCAGUGAAUCAUCGAGUCUUUGAACGCACAUUGCGCCCCCUGGUAUUCCGGGGGGCAUGCCUGUCCGAGCGUCAUUGCUGCCCUCAAGCACGGCUUGUGUGUUGGGCUUCCGUCCCUGGCAACGGGGACGGGCCCAAAAGGCAGUGGCGGCACCAUGUCUGGUCCUCGAGCGUAUGGGGCUUUGUCACCCGCUCCCGUAGGUCCAGCUGGCAGCUAGCCUCGCAACCAAUCUUUUUAACCAGGUGACCUCGGAUCAGGUAGGGAUACCCGCUGAACUUAAGCAUAUCAAUAAGCGGAGGAAACG
rnacentral:rRNA from 1 species